UGGGGAAUUUUGGACAAUGGGCGAAAGCCUGAUCCAGCAAUGCCGCGUGUGUGAAGAAGGCCUUCGGGUUGUAAAGCACUUUUGUCCGGAAAGAAAUCCUUGGCUCUAAUACAGUCGGGGGAUGACGGUACCGGAAGAAUAAGCACCGGCUAACUACGUGCCAGCAGCCGCGGUAAUACGUAGGGUGCAAGCGUUAAUCGGAAUUACUGGGCGUAAAGCGUGCGCAGGCGGUUUGCUAAGACCGAUGUGAAAUCCCCGGGCUCAACCUGGGAACUGCAUUGGUGACUGGCAGGCUAGAGUAUGGCAGAGGGGGGUAGAAUUCCACGUGUAGCAGUGAAAUGCGUAGAGAUGUGGAGGAAUACCGAUGGCGAAAGGCAGCCCCCUGGGCCAAAUACUGACGCUCAUGCACGAAAAGCGUGGGGGAGCAAAACAGGAUUAGAUACCCUGGUAGUCCACGCCCUAAAACGAUGUCAACUAGUUGUUGGGGAUUCAUUUCCUUAGUAACGUAGCUAACGCGUGAAGUUGACCGCCUGGGGAGUACGGUCGCAAAGAUUAAAAACUCAAAGGAAUUGACGGGGUCAUAGCUGUUUCC
rnacentral:rRNA from 1 species